ensembl:lncRNA
UUCACAUCCUACUUUGAAGGCACAUUCUGAUUAUUAUUGGUUGGUUGUUUUCUUGCUUUCAGUUGAGGACAAACUGCUACAGGGACUCAAGCUUCUGUCCUCAAGCUGCAGGUGUCCAGAGGAGGAUUUGCACAGGGGGACUCCCUUCUACACCUUAGGUCUGGCCUGGCUGGGUCUGGCCUGGCUGGGCACCUUUCCCAUCCUAGGCAGAGAGCAGAGCAACAGGAUGUUCUGCCAUGACUUGCUGAGCCAGGCAAGGUGGAUAUUUGCUGCCUGGAAGGCAAAGACAAAAUCAGACCUGAACAGAGCUCUUGGAUCCUGGAGAAACCUGAUGAGAGAUGUCAUUCCAAACCCACUGACAGAGAAGGAAGAGGAGUAAUAGUACUCACAUGUAAAUGAAGUGAGGCAAAUGGAAAAUGCUUCACAACAAGAGGAAAAUUUGAGGAAUUAGGAGUGCCCAAAAGAGUGCUUUGUAGUACAGACACCUGUGGGAUGGGAAGAAAAUAAUAAACAGGUAAUGGAGAUCA